AAUUCAAUUAGGGCUCUUCACUCGGUUUCCCCCUUUCUUCUUCUUCUUCUUCCUCCUGUGGGAGAAGCUGAAAAUGUUUGGAUCCGUAUGUUGUAAAUCAGGAGCAAAUCUCAAAAGGACGAUGCCCAUUAAUGAGCCAUCUUAUUCUUUAUCAUCCGUCAUCAUCAUCAGCAACUCGGUAUUUUCUCUUCACAUUACAUAAUCCAGAUGUUUUUAUUAGAACUAGGGUUAGUUCCGUGUUCUGUUCCUUGUCUACUAGUAGUACUGCCUGUUCAUCUUCUUCUGAUUCAAUUGUAAUUAGUUAUUUGAUAAAUUCAAAUGGGCUGUCUAAAAAUGAAGCUAUUACUGUCUUAGUAAAGCCGAUUUCAUCCCAUCCAGAUUCAAUUUUAAAACUAUUCGAAAACUACUUCAAAGCUAAGCAGCCAUCAGUUCUCUCAUCGGAUCCUCUUGAAACCAGAAAACCCAAGUUGGAAUUUUUCAUAUCUAAAGGGGCAAAUGGAAUCCCUUUCUUUGAUAUCUUUCGGAGAAUUUUUCAUACCAGUACAGUACAGAUGUCAUUAAAAUCCUAACAAAAUCCAAUUUCUGGGUUUUUAGCAUGAACAAACUUAAGCAUUUGGUGGUCAAUGUAGAGCUUUUGAGAUAUGAAGGUGUCCCUGAAUCUUUUAUCAUUAAGUUUCUAAUCAGGCAACCUAGUGGAUUUAUGGGAGAUGCUGUUAAAUUUAAUAAGAUUGAAAAAAAGGGUUUAAGGAUUGGGUUUUGAUGCUUUACAUACAUUGUUUCUCGAAGCUUUAGAAGGAUUGACAUCAAUGAAUUAAGCCUCUUGGAAACAAAAUUAGAUGUUUAGAAGUGAUGGGGUUGGUCUGAAGACCAAAUUCAAACAGCAUUUGGGAAAAGGCCUUAUUGUAUGAAGGCUUCUAAGCUCCUGCAUUGAUGUAGGAGUUUCAAGGUCAAUUAAGUUACCAAGAGCUACUUCUGGACUGAAGGAUUUGAUGAGAUGCAUAUGUGGUACCGGGCUUCAGAUGCUCAGACCCAUCAAAUUGCUGCUAAAAAAGAGAGACAGAUGGAGUCAUUGAGGGCUGCUCUUGGGAGUAAAUUAAACUUCUUUACUCCAGGAAGAAAGGAAACUGGAUACAGUGCUGGAAUCUGACUCUGAAUUACGUGAAGGAUAGAUGCCAAACACAAACUUGAUGGAGACUAAUGAGCAUAGCAAACACGAGAAAGAUGGUCCGAAGAAGGCCGAGAAGAAAAAAGAUUACAGUAGCAGGAGGGAUGAUGGUGAGAAGUCAAGACACCGUGGAAAGGAGGAUAACAUGAAAGGAGGGUAUUAGGGUUUCAAAUCAUGGAAAAGGUUUGAGGAAGAAACACCAAAAAAGUAGGCCGGACUGUGAUUCUGAAAAUUCUGGAACUGUUUUAAGUGUUGAGCAAGGAGAAGAUUUCAAGUGCUAAGAAAAGCUCCCAGCAUGAUACUGAUGAUUCUGGUUCCGAAAGCGAUGAUGUUAGCAAAAGAAAUAGCAAAACCAAACCACACGUAAUGUCAGCUAAAACUCAUCAAAGUCGUCAUGUGGAUGAGGAUGGAAAAAACCCCCUUUUUUUAGGUGCGGAUUUGAUGAGAUGCAUAUAUGGUACCGAAGAAAUUGAAUAAAAUAUCAGAAGACAAAGUACAACGGGAUUGUGGUACAAACAGCAAGAGGAUCAGGAACAGACGGUUAUGUACAAACAAACUAAUCCCUUGUAUGACCAAAAAAGACUGGGAAAAUAGAAGCAAAAGCAUUUGAAGGUGAUCAAGGAACUGGUGGUGUUAAAAGAGCAAACAAAGAUAUUCAUGAACAUGAUAGAAAACGUCAGAUUCAACUUCAAUUGUUUUUCUUUAGAAUAUAAAUUGAUCGAACAAGGUUAUAUUGAUGAUGAAAUUUCUCACAAGCUUCAUGAAGGAAGGAAAUCAUUCGAAGAAAAAGAUGAAGAAUCCCAAAGAACAAACAACAAUCAGAGGCUUCAGAUACUAGAAAGGAGAGACAGAUCAAAUUGCUGCUAGAAAGGAGAGACAAAUGGAGACAUUAAGGGCUGCUCUUGGGAGUAAAUUAGGUUGGUGAAACUUCUUUACUCCAGGAAGAAAGGAAACUGGAAGGAGUGCUGGAAUCUGAUUCUGAAUUAAGUGAAGGAGAGAUGCCAAAUAAAGAGUUGAUAGAGAAAGAUGCGCCUAGCAAACAUGAGAAAAAUGGUCCUAAGAAGGUUGAGAAGAGAAAAGAUUGCAGUAGCAAGAGAGUAGCGAGAUGUCAUGACACCAUGGAAAGAGGGUAGUUCUUUUGAUACUGAUAAUGGUUCAAAACGUGGAAAUGGUUUGAGGAAGAAACAUCGAAAAGUAGGCAGUACAGUGAUUCUGAAAAUUCUGGAAACGGUUUAUGAUAGGCGCAAGGAGAAAAUUAUAAGUGUCAAGAAAAGCUCCCAGCAUGACCGUGACGAUUCAGGUUUCGAAAGUGAUGAUGUUGGCAAAAGAAAUAGCAAAACCAAACCAGAUGUAAAGAAAUCAGCUAAAACUCAUUAAAGUCGUCAUUUGGAUGAAGAUGCAAAGAGACAGAAAUUCCAAUUGCCAACACAGCAAAAGCCAUGAUUCUGAAGAUGAAUCUGAUUCUGGCAAGGGACAGAAACAUGUUAGUGAAACUACUCACUGAGGACUUGGAGAUGAACAAGGAAACAUAAAGCUUGGAAGGGGUGAAGAGGAGCUUGGUGGCAAAAGUUGUGGAAGAGAUGAGGAAGAAAAGUACACAAGCAGAAAGCACGCCAGAACUGAAGAAAAAAACAUUCUACCAAACAUGAGAGUGAGGUGGGAAAAUGCAUGAGAGGAUGGAAGAGGAGCUUUGAGGCAGAAAUCGUGGAAGAGAUGAGGAAGUUCGUGGAAAUAGAAGAAUUGGAGAAGAGGAAGAGCAGUGAAGUAGGAGGCGUGAAAAGGAUGAAUGAAGUUCGUGAAGUGGAAGAGAUGAAGAAGAAGAAAGAAGAAGUUCCAGGGAUGGAAAGGGCAGAGACAUGGAUGCUAAAAGGGGUCAGUUUGAUGAUUAUUCUCGACCGAGGGGAAGAAAUGUAUUUAAGAAAAAAAAAGAUGCUGAUCAGCCAAGGAGGCAUGAGCGCAUGACUAGUUGGUACCAGCAAUACUCUUGUGUGGGAUGAUGGAGUUGAUGAAAUUAGAGAUGCAGCACCAGUACCAGCUAAGGCCGAAGAAUGAGGUUGUGCUGUAAUGAAUUUACUUGAAUCCUGUCACAGCAUUGCUUUGAAGUAGAUGAAAUAUUGUUUCAUGUUAUU